rnacentral:tRNA from 1 species
GGGGUUGUGGCUCAGAGGUAGAGUGCUCACCUAGAAUGCCUGAGGCACAGGGUUCAAUCCUCAACACCA